UAAUGAUGGUGAGGGCAAUUUUUGAGCAUACUUUAAAUAUCUCCCAAGCUUUGUAAACAUUCUCUUCUUCUUUCCGUCUAAAACUCAGAAUCUCACUUCUCAAACG
rfam:Capsicum annuum cultivar Zunla-1 chromosome 6, whole genome shotgun sequence